rnacentral:rRNA from 3 species
GGACCGAACCGACUAAUGUUGAAAAAUUAGCGGAUGACCUGUGGCUGGGGGUGAAAGGCCAAUCAAACCGGGAGAUAGCUGGUUCUCCCCGAAAGCUAUUUAGGUAGCGCCUCGUGAAUUCAUCUCCGGGGGUAGAGCACUGUUUCGGCUAGGGGGCCAUCCCGGCUUACCAACCCGAUGCAAACUGCGAAUACCGGAGAAUGUUAUCACGGGAGACACACGGCGGGUGCUAACGUCCGUCGUGAAGAGGGAAACAACCCAGACCGCCAGCUAAGGUCCCAAAGUCAUGGUUAAGUGGGAAACGAUGUGGGAAGGCCCAGACAGCCAGGAUGUUGGCUUAGAAGCAGCCAUCAUUUAAAGAAAGCGUAAUAGCUCACUGGUCGAGUCGGCCUGCGCGGAAGAUGUAACGGGGCUAAACCAUG